rnacentral:rRNA from 1 species
CACGUAGGGUGCGAGCGUUGUCCGGAAUUAUUGGGCGUAAAGAGCUCGUAGGCGGUGUGUCGCGUCGGCCGUGAAAACCUGCGGCUUAACUGUGGGCUUGCGGUCGAUACGGGCAUCACUGGAGUUCGGUAGGGGAGUCUGGAAUUCCUGGUGUAGCGGUGAAAUGCGCAGAUAUCAGGAGGAACACCGGUGGCGAAGGCGGGUCUCUGGGCCGAUACUGACGCUGAGGAGCGAAAGCGUGGGGAGCGAACAGG